CGGGAUGUGGCGCAGCCCGGUUAGCGCGCUGGCAUGGGGGGCCAGAGGCCGCCGGUUCAAAUCCGGCCAUCCCGA
rnacentral:tRNA from 1 species